rnacentral:lncRNA from 1 species
UAGCUCAUCAUGCUGACCAUUUAUCUCCCAGGUUUUGGAAAAAGCAUUGAUGUUGACUGCUAGUUGACAAAGGGGAAGAAAUAGGUUCUUCAGGUGGCAGCAAUCAAGAAAACAAAGGCUUCCCAAAGUCACACAUGCAACCGGGCACUAUCAGGGCUGUCAGAGUUUCCAAGGACAGGGAGAGGGAGGCAGAUCCCAUGAAAUGAGGCUGGACAGGAAGUCCUCCCAACGAGGUUAUCAGGCAAAUCAAGAAGAGUGGGAAGUGCCCGAAGACAGGAGGCUGCCUGCCAGCGACUCCACGGGCUCAGGCUGUUUGUAGUUCAUGUGCAUAAUUUUUAAAGAUAGACAUAAGACAUACCCCUGAAGAUGAGUACAAGAGAGAAAGACAGGGCUCUGAAAAUACUGCCAUAGGCUCAAGUUCCAAAGUGCUGGAGUUACAAAAGUAUAAAGGACAACGCAAAGGACUUUUUAGCCAAAGAAGAACCAGAAAGGAAGAGUCCUAGGGAAUUGGAGACGUCGCGAAGGAAUGUUGUUCUGAGCACUGAUUUCAUCAAGCCGAUGGAGGCAACAACAUAUUCCUUAGGGAAAAUUAAGAUGCACAGUAUGCUUCAAGAUGAUGGCCAAGAACAACCAACUCAACGAGCCUUCAGGAAUUCAUGAUUUGAAUAUCAUGUUCAAGCUACAGACAUCAGCAAACUCGAGAAAAGAAGGUUUGCUCUGGGAGAUUCUACAUGUGACCUGUUUAUAUGUAAUUAUAUUAUCUAUUACUCAAGUAUUUGUCUUGUGCUGUCUAAAUUAUAAGCUUCUCAACUGUUUGCCUUGAGUGAGAUGUGCACGCUAAAGCCUCUCAAUAAAUAUUAAUUGAAUGAAUAAUUGAAAAAAACC